rnacentral:rRNA from 1 species
CGGGUGAGUAACGCGUGAGGAGCCUGCCUCAAAGAGGGGGACAACAGUUGGAAACGACUGCUAAUACCGCAUAAGCCCACGGCUCGGCAUCGAGCAGAGGGAAAAGGAGUGAUCCGCUUUGAGAUGGCCUCGCGUCCGAUUAGCUAGUUGGUGAGGUAACGGCCCACCAAGGCGACGAUCGGUAGCCGGACUGAGAGGUUGAACGGCCACAUUGGGACUGAGACACGGCCCAG